rnacentral:rRNA from 1 species
UACGUAGGGUGCGAGCGUUGUCCGGAAUUACUGGGCGUAAAGGGCUUGUAGGUGGUUUGUCGCGUUUGUUCGUGAAAUGCCACAACUCAAUUGUGGGCGUGCGGGCGAUACGGGCAGACUGGAGUACUGCAGGGGAGACUGGAAUUCCUGGUGUAGCGGUGGAAUGCGCAGAUAUCAGGAGGAACACCGGUGGCGAAGGCGGGUCUCUGGGCAGUAACUGACGCUGAGGAGCGAAAGCGUGGGGAGCGAACAGG